rnacentral:SRP_RNA from 1 species
GCCGGGCGCGGUGGUGCAUGUCUGUAGCCCCAGCUACUCAGGAGGCUGAGGUGGGAGGAUUGCUUGAGCCCAGGAGUUCUAGGCUGUAGUGCGCUAUGCCGAUCGGGUGUCUGCACUAAGUUUGGCAUCAAUAUGGUGACUUCCCGGGAGCGGGGUACCACCAAGUUACCUAAGGAGGGUUGAACUGGCCCAGGUCGGAAAUGGAGCAGGUCAAAACUCCCAUGCUGAUCAGUAGUGGGAUCACGCCUGUGAACAGCCACUGCACUCCAGCCUGGGCAACACAGCGAGUCCCUGUCUCU